AGAGUUUGAUCCUGGCUCAGAACGAACGCUGGCGGCAGGCCUAACACAUGCAAGUCGAGCGAACCAGCAAUGGUGAGCGGCGCACGGGUGAGGAACACGUGGGAAUGUACCCCUUGGUGCGGAAUAACGUAGGGAAACUUACGCUAAUACCGCAUAAUGACUUCGGUCCAAAGAUUUAUCGCCGAGGGAUCAGCCCGCGUCUGAUUAGCUAGUUGGUGAGGUAAUGGCUCACCAAGGCAACGAUCAGUAGCUGGUCUGAGAGGAUGAUCAGCCACACUGGAACUGAGACACGGUCCAGACUCCUACGGGAGGCAGCAGUGAGGAAUAUUGGACAAUGGGCGCAAGCCUGAUCCAGCCAUGCCGCGUGAGUGAUGAAGGCCUUCGGGUUGUAAAGCUCUUUCAAUGG
rnacentral:rRNA from 1 species